ensembl:snRNA
GUGUUGUACGAAAGGAGAGGUCAGCACUCCCCUUGACAAGGAUGGAAGAGGCCUUCCUCACAGCACACAUAUGGCUAAGGCAUUGCCACCUACUUUGUGGCAUAAUAAAUAAAUAAUUAA